rnacentral:rRNA from 1 species
UACAGGGGGGGCAAGCGUUGUUCGGAAUCACUGGGCGUAAAGCGCACGUAGGCGGCUUUUUAAGUCAGGGGUGAAAUCCUGGAGCUCAACUCCAGAACUGCCUUUGAUACUGAGAAGCUUGAGUCCGGGAGAGGUGAGUGGAACUGCGAGUGUAGAGGUGAAAUUCGUAGAUAUUCGCAAGAACACCAGUGGCGAAGGCGGCUCACUGGCCCGGUACUGACGCUGAGGUGCGAAAGCGUGGGGAGCAAACAGG